rnacentral:rRNA from 1 species
GAGUAACACGUGACUAACCUACCCUCGAGUGGGGAAUAACCUCGGGAAACCGGGGCUAAUACCGCAUAACAUCUUCGGAUCAAAGGAGCAAUCCGCUGGAGGAGGGGGUCGCGGCCGAUUAGCUAGUUGGCGGGGUAACGGCCCACCAAGGCCAUGAUCGGUAGCCGGCCUGAGAGGGCGCACGGCCACACUGGAACUGAAACACGGUCCAGACUCCUACGGGAGGCAGCAGUGGGGAAUUUUGCGCAAUGGGGGAAACCCUGACGCAGCAACGCCGCGUGGAGGAUGAAGCCCCUUGGGGUGUAAACUCCUUUCGAUCGGGACGAUUAUGACGGUACCGGAUGAAGAAGCACCGGCUAACUCUGUGCCAGCAGCCGCGGUAAUACAGAGGGUGCAAGCGUUGUUCGGAAUUAUUGGGCGUAAAGGGCGCGUAGGCGGUGCGGUAAGUCUAUUGUGAAAUCUCCGGGCUCAACUCGGAGCUUCAACGGAAACUGCCGUGCUCGAGUGUGGGAGAGGUGAGUGGAUUCCCGGUGUAGCGGUGAAUGC